GAUGGAAGAACGCAGCGAAAUGCGAUAAGUAGUGUGAAUUGCAGAAUUCCGUGAAUCAUCGAAUCUUUGAACGCACAUUGCGCCUUCUGGUAUUCCGGAAGGCAUGCCUGUUCGAGAGUCAUUAACAACCGUUUCGAUCCCUUUCUUUCAGAAAUUACAAAGAGGAAAAGGGUUUGGUUAUGGUGGAGGAGGGAAAGGGAGCGUUUAGCCUGUAAAAAAAGAGGCUGUGUUCCGCCUCCCCCCCAAAAUUGUACAGGCGGUCGUGUGCGCCCACGCAUCGAGGUGUUGUAAAAGCUGCCACGGCACUUUUCACCUGUGCAGUGCGAGAUUGGCCAGCCGGUUUAAAAACCCCUCCAAACAAUCAAAGGUUGACCUCGGAUCAGGUAGGGAUACCCGCUGAACUUAAGCAUAUCAAUAAGCGGAGGA
rnacentral:misc_RNA from 1 species